UUUUAGGGUUUUGACGCCUUCAGGGUUUCACAGUUUUAAGCCUUCUUCUGCUUCUUCUUCUUUGUUGUCUUAUUCUACUUUUCAAAUACAUCUCAAACCAAGCAAGAGCAAUGUCAUUACAUAUUCACUUCAAUUUUGGUAUAUUGUUCCCUUACAGCCCCCGGGGCAGUGCUAAUGAAUGUACCCCACCAUUGGCAAACACAAAUGAAACACAGGGAGAGCUGAGAUG